rnacentral:rRNA from 1 species
CAGCAGCCGCGGGAAUACGAGGGGUGCAAGCGUUAUUCGGAUUGAUUGGGUGUAAAGGGUGUGCAGACGGCUUAUUAAGUCACUUGUUAAGUUCUUCAGCCUAACUGAAGGUCUGCAAGUGAUACUGAUGAGCUAGAGGGUGGAAGAGAGAAGUGGAAUUCUCGGAGUAGCGGUAAAAUGCGUAGAUCUCGAGAGGAACACCAAUGGCGAAGGCAGCUUCUUGGUCCAUUCCUGACGUUCAUACACGAAAGCGUGGGGAGCGAACAGGAUUAGAGACCCCAGUAGUCCCUGUCUCUUAUAC